rnacentral:rRNA from 1 species
UACGGAGGGUGCGAGCGUUGUCCGGAAUCAUUGGCGUAAAGGGCGCGUAGGUGGCCCAGUAAGCGUGCGGUGAAAGCUCGGGGCUCAACCCCGGGUCGGCCAUGGCAACUACUCGGCUGGAGCACAGUAGAGGCAGGCGGAAUUCCGGGUGGUAGCGGUGGAAUGCGCAGCAUAUCAGGAAGAACACCAACGGCGAAGGCAGCUCGCUGGGACGGUACUGACGCUGAGACGCGAAAGCGUGGGGAGCGAACAGG